UACGUAGGGUGCAAGCGUUGUCCGGAAUUAUUGGGCGUAAAGAGCUCGUAGGCGGUCUGUCGCGUCGGCUGUGAAAACCCGGAGCUCAACUCCGGGCCUGCAGUCGAUACGGGCAGACUGGAGUUCGGCAGGGAGACUGGAAUUCCUGGUGUAGCGGUGAAAUGCGCAGAUAUCAGGAGGAACACCGGUGGCGAAGGCAGAUCUCUGGGCCGUAACUGACGCUGAGGAGCGAAAGCAUGGGAGCGAACAGG
rnacentral:rRNA from 1 species